AGCGAACGCUGGCGGCAGGCUUAACACAUGCAAGUCGAGCGGGCCCUUCGGGGUCAGCGGCGGACGGGUGAGUAACGCGUGGGAACGUGCCUUCUGGUCUGGAAUAACCCUGGGAAACUAGGGCUAAUACCGGAUACGCCCUUUUGGGGAAAGGUUUACUGCCGGAAGAUCGGCCCGCGUCUGAUUAGCUAGUUGGUGGGGUAACGGCCUACCAAGGGGACGAUCAGUAGCUGGUCUGUGAGGAUGAUCAGCCACACUGGGACUGAGACACGGCCCAGACUCCUACGGGAGGCAGCAGUGGGGAAUAUUGGACAAUGGGCGCAAGCCUGAUCCAGCCAGGCCGCGUGAGUGAUGAAGGCCUUAGGGUUGUAAAGCUCUUUUAUCCGGGACGAUAAUGACGGUACCGGAGGAAUAAGCCCCGGCUAACUUCGUG
rnacentral:rRNA from 1 species